rnacentral:rRNA from 1 species
UACGGAGGAUGCGAGCGUUAUCCGGAUUUAUUGGGUUUAAAGGGUGCGCAGGCGGAAGAUCAAGUCAGCGGUAAAAUUGAGAGGCUCAACCUCUUCGAGCCGUUGAAACUGGUUUUCUUGAGUGAGCGAGAAGUAUGCGGAAUGCGUGGUGUAGCGGUGAAAUGCAUAGAUAUCACGCAGAACUCCGAUUGCGAAGGCAGCAUACCGGCGCUCAACUGACGCUCAUGCACGAAAGUGUGGGUAUCGAA